GAUGAAGAACGCAGCGAAAUGCGAUAAGUAAUGUGAAUUGCAGAAUUCAGUGAAUCAUCGAAUCUUUGAACGCACCUUGCGCUCCUUGGUAUUCCGAGGAGCAUGCCUGUUUGAGUGUCAUUAAAUUCUCAACCUUAUUGGCUUUUGCUGAUAAUGGCUUGGACUUGGGGGUCUUUUUGCUGGCUUUCAUUAGUCUGCUCCCCUUAAAUGUAUUAGCCGGUGCCCCGCAGUGGAACCGUCUAUUGGUGUGAUAAUUAUCUACGCCGUGGACGUCUGCUAUAAUGGGUUUGCGCUGCUUCUAACCGUCUCUCGGGACAACACAAAUGACAAUUUGAACUCAAAUCAGGUAGGACUACCCGCUGAACUUAAGCAUAUCAAUAAGCGGAGGA
rnacentral:misc_RNA from 1 species